GCCUGGGUAGCUCAGUUGGCAGAGCACGUCUUUGGUAAAGACGAGGUCGGCGGUUCAAUCCCGCCUCCAGGCU
rnacentral:tRNA from 1 species